GAAAUGCACUAGCCUAUGCAAACGCUAUGACCUUUUCCACCAGAACUUCUCCCAUUCAUCCAUGCUGUGUGUUCUUCCCAGGUCACAAUGAAGCCAUCACUUUGUGGCAGCCUCAAGUUCCACAAUUCUGGCUCUUAGUGCUGACACAAGGCCAUCACCAUCCAUCACUGCCACUCAGCAGCUUUUGGGUUGCAGUAUCUUGGCUGACACUAGGUAUUUUCUUUGGAGUCUCAUUAGAUCAUACUGAAAUGAGGACUUGCUUUUCAUCCUGUGACUAUAUAUGAGGGACUGCUAUCCCAUCAUCCAAGAGACCAUGAGGAAAACAAGGAUUUCAUGUGCACCCUUCUUCAAACCAGAACAUCUGGGAGUCAACACCAAUUAUGUUCCAACUUGAGAGACUUAUUGUCUUGUUUUGGCUGUUCACUGGGACCUCAGGAUCACCUUUGGGUAACAUUGUUACUAACCAUAAUAAUUUGGACAUUCUGAAUUCUGUCUCUGGAAGUGAGCCAGUAAAGUUGCUACCAGCUAACUCCUUCCAGUAUCAACCCUAAUAAACACUAUACCUGAAAUAGCAGAGGCUGCUUGGAGAGGGCACUGUUGUCCUUUAUGGGUGGCUUACUGAGAAAUGUGCAGUUGUUCAAUUCCUGUUCCUCACUUUUACUUUUAGAAGUAAAGACUACAUUGACAUUCUGUCUUUA